rnacentral:miRNA from 1 species
AGUUGCAAGCGGUUGUUAUAUA